AGAGAAGCAAGGAAGAAGAAACCCCAUAAAACCUGACGGCACAGGUUUAGUGAGGUGGAAGAAAUCACAGAAUUUCAAGAGGCAAAGAAUGCUGAAAGUAUAGACAUCUUUGGAAGAGACUGACUUCUAACGCUGCUGAUAGGAAGUCUAAUUGGAUUUUGAAGAUUGUGUGGCAUUCAUUGGGGAAAAAAAAAUCAAAGAUACAGCAGACUAAAGACAAACAACAUUUAUUUAUUUGUAACAGACUUUAUUUCAAAAGAACCUUAAGCCAAUGCCUGAUUUGAAUCUACAUCAACACCUUUGACAUAUAAGUGUAAACAACAUAAAUCACUCAUUUAA